rnacentral:rRNA from 1 species
UACGUAGGGGGCAAGCGUUGUCCGGAUUUAUUGGGCGUAAAGGGCGUGUAGGCGGCCAGGUAGGUCUGCUGUGAAAACUCGGGGCUUAACCCCGGGCCUGCAGUGGGUACGGGCAGACUAGAGUGCGGUAGGGGAGACUGGAAUUCCUGGUGUAGCGGUGAAAUGCGCAGAUAUCAGGAGGAACACCGGUGGCGAAGGCGGGUCUCUGGGCCGUAACUGACGCUGAGGAGCGAAAGCGUGGGGAGCGAACAGG